ACUUUCGGUUAUCUAGCUUUAUGACAGGGAUUUAACACUCAUACAGCUAGAUAACCAAAGAC
rnacentral:pre_miRNA from 1 species